rnacentral:lncRNA from 1 species
AUUGACAAUGUCAGUAAAUCUAGUGAACAUACUAGUGAUUGUCUCAUUAGAAUCCAUUUUAAAUAGUUCAUACUUAUGAACCAAUAUAUUAAUCUUGGAUUCUUUAACUUGAUUUGUGCCCUCAUGGGUCACUUCAAGCCUAUCCCAGAUCUCUUUUGCAGAGUUGCAAGUAGAGACCCUAUUGAAUUCAUUUCGGUCUAAGGCACAAUAAAACACAUUCAUAGCUUUAGAGUUUAAUUAUGCCUUCCUCAUGUCAUGUUCAUCCCAAUCCUUUUCUAAUUUGGGUACCUUAACACCCUCUACAUAUGUGGAUGGGAUGUAUGGACCAUUUACUACAAUGGUCCACAUCUCAUAGUCUUGAGCUUGGAUGAAUAUUCUCAUCCUAGCCUUCCAGUAUGAGUAGUCGGAUCCAUUGAAGAAAGGGAGUCUUUGGGUGGACUGACCCUCAAUGUGAGAAGAUCCGAAUGGGGUUGUCAUUUUUGAUCUUUUACUCUUGAGUGGAAGAGUUUAGGCUCUGAUACCACUUGUUGCCCAGAUAGACAACCCAAGAGGGGGGGUGAAUUGGGUUUUAAAAUAAUUUGGAUAAUUAAAACUUAUGGAUGAUUAAUUAAAAACUAAUGCAAGUUAUUUAAUUAAUGCUAAGUGCUGUGAGUGAUGUGAGAGUAAGAAGAAAAGAGCCAAUCAAUCACAAACACAGGGUUUUAUAGUGGUUCGGAGCUAACUCUUGCUCCUACGUCCACUCCCCAAGUCUCACUUGGGAAUUUCACUAUAACCCCCUUGGAUUACAGCCGGUUGUUUUGCAAGCUCACAACCAAACUUGUUGUUUUACGAGCUCACAACGAACUCGGUCGGUUUUCCCAGGCUCACCGACUAGAACCAACCCCGAUUGUUUUUCCGGGCUCACAAUCAAACCCUUACACACGUUGGUUUUAACUUGGCUCACCAACCAACCUUAAUCCCCUUGAUUCAAUCCCCCGAUUGAACCAAG